AGGCCUAACACAUGCAAGUCGAACGGUAACAGGAAGAAGCUUGCUUCUUUGCUGACGAGUGGCGGACGGGUGAGUAAUGUCUGGGAAACUGCCUGAUGGAGGGGGAUAACUACUGGAAACGGUAGCUAAUACCGCAUAACGUCGCAAGACCAAAGAGGGGGACCUUCGGGCCUCUUGCCAUCGGAUGUGCCCAGAUGGGAUUAGCUAGUAGGUGGGGUAACGGCUCACCUAGGCGACGAUCCCUAGCUGGUCUGAGAGGAUGACCAGCCACACUGGAACUGAGACACGGUCCAGACUCCUACGGGAGGCAGCAGUGGGGAAUAUUGCACAAUGGGCGCAAGCCUGAUGCAGCCAUGCCGCGUGUAUGAAGAAGGCCUUCGGGUUGUAAAGUACUUUCAGCGGGGAGGAAGGGAGUAAAGUUAAUACCUUUGCUCAUUGACGUUACCCGCAGAAGAAGCACCGGCUAACUCCGUGCCAGCAGCCGCGGUAAUACGGAGGGUGCAAGCGUUAAUCGGAAUUACUGGGCGUAGAGCGCACGCAGGCGGUUUGUUAAGUCAGAUGUGAAAUCCCCGGGCUCAACCUGGGAACUGCAUCUGAUACUGGCAAGCUUGAGUCUCGUAGAGGGGGGUAGAAUUCCAGGUGUAGCGGUGAAAUGCGUAGAGAUCUGGAGGAAUACCGGUGGCGAAGGCGGCCCCCUGGACGAAGACUGACGCUCAGGU
rnacentral:rRNA from 1 species